CAGUGGCGAACGGGUGAGUAACGCGUAAGUAACCUGCCCCUAAGUGGGGGAUAACUUCGGGAAACUGGAGCUAAUACCGCAUGUGGUCCUUCUGCAAAAGCGGAAGGAUUAAAGCCUUCGGGUGCUUGGGGAGUGGCUUGCGUCCGAUUAGCUUGUUGGUGAGGUAACGGCCCACCAAGGCAAUGAUCGGUAGCUGGUCUGAGAGGAUGGCCAGCCACACUGGGACUGAGACACGGCCCAGACUCCUACGGGAGGCAGCAGCAAGGAAUAUUGUGCAAUGGGCGAAAGCCUGACACAGCGACACCGCGUGGGGGAUGAAGGCCUUCGGGUUGUAAACUCCUUUUCUCAGGGAAGAACAAUGACGGUACCUGAGGAAUAAGUCUCGGCUAACUACGUGCCAGCAGCCGCGGUAAUACGUAGGAGGCAAGCGUUAUCCGGAUUUAUUGGGCGUAAAGCGCGUGUAGGUGGCUCUUCAAGUCGGAUGAAAAAUCUCCCGGCUCAACUGGGAGGGACCAUUCGAUACUGCUGGGCUAGAGUACAGCAGAGGGAGGUGGAAUUCCCGGUGUAGUGGUGAAAUGCGUAGAUAUCGGGGGGAACACCAGUGGCGAAGGCGACCUCCUGGGCUGCAACUGACACUGAGACGCGAAAGCGUGGGGAGUGAACAGGAUUAGAUACCCUGGUAGUCCACGCUGUAAACGAUGGACACUAGGUAUGGGGAGUAUCGACCCUCUCCGUGCCGAAGCUAACGCAUUAAGUGUCCCGCCUGGGGACUACGGCCGC
rnacentral:rRNA from 1 species